UCAGCGGGUGUUCCUUGCUGUUGCCACUGAAGACGUGAGACUCGAGAUUGUUAAGCCUUUGAAAGCCAGCUUGCACCAGUGAUUCUCCAGGGAGCUUCUCGUCCUUCUGCCUUGGAGUGGGGCUUCACCACGGGACCCUCUUGUUCUCAGACUUCCAGCUUCUAGGACCAAGCAGCUACCGAUUUCUUUCCCCAGAUGUCCAGACUGCAAAUUCCAUCAUGAAAUACUCCAAUCUCUGAUUGUCCAAAGAACCAAGACAAGAUGAAUAGAUUAUGACCUUCAGUGACAAAAGGAAAACCCAUCAUUUCAGACCAUUUCAGCGACUGCUUUGCCAGUGGUUCUUUUCAGCAUCUGUCAAGGAGUGUUGAUGGCCAGGCAGCUUCCCCAAAUGGCUCAUCAAAGGAUCCUCGUUCUCUUUUCCUCCAAAGUAAGUUUUAACAACAUAUGAUCUGGAAAAGAGAGGGACGAGUACUAAGGAAUAAAUAAACAUCAACAAGAAAGCA